ACCCCUCGCUCGACUUCCCGCAGAAACCCUCCCACCUUCCAGCUUCGCCAUGCUCUGUAAUUCCUUCUCUCAGGGUCACCCAGGCUGGAGUGCACUGGCAUGAUCACAGCUCACUGCAGACUCGAUCUCCCAGGCUCAGGUGAUCCUCCCACCUCAGUUUCCCAAGUAGCUGCGACUACAGGCACAUGCCACCACACCUGGCUAAUUUUUUGAUUUUUUGUAGAGAUGGGGUCUCAUUUGUUGCCUAGGCUAGUCUCAAACUCCUGGGCUCAAGUGAUCCUCCUGUCCCAGCCUACCAAAGUGCUGGAAUUACAAGCAUGAGUCACCACUCUGGGCUGUACAUUCUUGUUUCAACAAGGCAGUGGUAUAUGGAAAGAGCAUGGACCUGAGGAAUCAGGGUAACAUUCUUGUUAUGUAGAACACACAGGACUUCCUAUUAUGAUGAAUGACAACUGCCAUUGAUUGAGCAGCUCCCAUACACCGAACACAGUGCUAGGCCUUUAGAAGCAUGAUCACAUUUCAUCAUUAUCAUCAUCCUCAGUUCUGAGCAGAAGGGAAAACGAGGCUUGAAGAUGAGGCCUGGAGAAAGGAGAAAUAUGGAAAUGCUGGGAUAAGAAAGAAAGAAAAAGCAAAACAAAGUUGCAAUAUCCCAGAGAAUUCAGCUUAGCACUGAUUCACAGAACUCACCUGUGACACAUCCAUGAUGAAAAAUGCAGACAGUGUCUCGCUCUGUCGCCAGGCUGGAGUACAAUGGUGAUAUCUCGGCUCACUGCAAUCUCCGCCUCCAGGGUUCUAGGGAUUCCCCUGCCUCAGCCUCCUGAGUAGCUAGUAGCAGCUGCCAAAGGUCAUCUGACAUAAUAGCUGAUGAAUUCAAGCCCAGUGGAUUUCAUUUGCAAUUUUCAAUUUACUGAGGCCUCCAAACCCCACGGUGAUAAAAGCUUCCCCUAUCGUGGCCUGUCACAAACAUCAAGAAACUGCACAAACCCACAAGAAAGAAAAAAGAGAAAGCUGUGCAUCAUCACAGCUAUAGAUAAGGAGAACAGGAAGAAAUGGUACCAUGCGGGAAGGUGGGGAGCAGCAGCCUGUGUGGCUAGUUCUCUAAAUGCCAAUUGAAACGAAAAGACUAUGAGGAACAAUCAAAUAACUUCCACAGAAUAACAAGAUGUUUCUUUGGAGCUUUUAUGUGAAAAUUGCCUUCUAAUCUCUGACUUGACACGCUCCCACACAAAAAUGGAAGUGUAAAUAUGCAA
rnacentral:lncRNA from 1 species